ensembl:lncRNA
AUGGGGCUGGACACCAUGAGGUUUCCAGCAGCCAGGGCUGCAGCCAGAGCAGCCCCCAUAGAAUACUCAGGCAGCAGGAAGUGCAGGCUGGUGAGGAGAGUGGGAACACUGCCCCACAUGCAGCUGCGUAGGUGCUACCCAGCGGACAAGCUGCCUCUGCCUCCACUUGGCUUCGCCAUAUGGCACAUUUGCCCCUGGCAGUGUCCAGCCCCAGGCCUGGGUGACUGGGGACACAGUAUACUGGUGGAGAAAAACGUUAAUGAGCUCCUCCAAGGGAAGAGGCCGGCAACGGGGAGGAGGUGGCUGUCAGGGCAGAGCUUCCUGGUAGCCAGGCCCAGGCAGUGCCAGAACACCCACCUCAGGUCUCACCUGCAGAACAUCUACACGAGUCACUCACACUGGGCCAGGCACAGGGUGUGUGCACAGAGGGCAGAUCCAGAUCACACGAUGGCACAGGUGCCCAUGGGUGUGCAGGGAGUGUGUGGGGGAAAGGAAUGUGUGCUCAUGUGCCAGUGGGAGGGUAUGUGUGAGUGUUUCUGUGGGAGUGUGUGUGUGUGUGAGUGUGGGUGUGCCUGUGGGUGUGGGUGUGUGCAUGUGCUGGUGGGGUGUGUGUGUGUGUGGCUGUGCCUGUGGGAGAGUGUGACCAUGAGUGUGAGUGUGCACCGUGCCUGUGGGAGGGUGUGUGGGUUUGUGCAUGUGCCUGUGGGAGGGUAUGUGGGUUUGUGCAUGUGCCUGUGGGAGGGUGUGUGGGUUUGUGCAUGUGCCUGUGGGAGGAUGUGUGUGUGUGUGGGUGGGUGUGUGUGCAUGUGCCUGUGGGAGGGUGUGUGUGGGUGUGGGUGUGGGCAUGUGCUUACGGGGGGGCCUGUGAGUGUGGGUGUGCUUGUAGGAGGGUGUGUGUGGGUGUGUGCAUGUGCCUGUGGGAGGAUGUGGGUGUGGGUGUGGGUGUGGGCAUGUGUCUAUGGGGGGGCCUAUGAAUGUGGGUGUGCUUGUGGGAGGGUGUGUGUAGGUGUGGGUGUGUGCAUGUGCCUGUGGGAGGGUGUGUAUGGGUGUGGGUGUGGGCGUGUGCCUGUGGGGGUGGUGUGUGUGAGGGUGAUCCUGAGUGUGAGUGGGAGGGUGUGUGUGAGUGUGAGUGGGAAGGUGUGA